rnacentral:lncRNA from 1 species
CCAUAUACUAGUACAUGUGUUCGAUAUCAGAAAUCAUACUGUCUGAAUGCUGGCCGACAGUCCUUGGAUAUCAAACAGUAUUAUCAAUUAAUAGCACCACCAUAGGCUGAUUAUAGGCUAGAGCUUUCUUGGAUAGUUGGUUUUGGACGAUUGGUUAGGAACUGGUUUGGUGAGGUGGUUUCAUUAAUUCUAGGGAAAAUACUUACUACUUCGGGGAUUUCUAUUGACCAUAGGUAUAACAACUCGUACACCUGUGCCUAUGCUUGUCGAAAUGACGAGUACAUCACCAAAAGAAACUUAGGAAACUAGCGUUGGUUGGAACGUCCUAAGGCCGGAAAAAGAAUUUUCUAACAAUCUACUUUAGGACAGACUUAAACGGAAGUCGAUCUUCCUCCUGAAGAUCCGGAAUGAUCACUAGUGCAUUUGGAAAGAUUAGUGCUAUCAGGGAACAAAAGUGAUUGCCCCCUUGAUGUACUUACAUCAAGUGUUACCCCUUUAGCACCACCUUGUCACUAGAGACAUUUCUAGAAAUUUUGAUGAAAGUAAAACCUCAUAGGAAUUCUGAUAGGAGGUAUAUUAAUGGAUACUGCCAAGGGAUCAAAACUAUUCUUAGCUUCCAUUCUAGAAAGGGUUGGUAGAAAUGACUAAAUGGUAGUGUGGAAUUGGUGGGUAAAUCCUCCGUGAUGCACAACUAUCGGUAUAGUAACCUAACUUCAGGGCCAUCAACUUGUCUCAAAUCCACAUAUUUCCUUGGUAAGGAGGUUCAUUGCUUAAAUCUAGAGGUGUCCACCAAGACAAUGUUCUAGAAUGUCGAUAAGUCAUCUAUGUCACUAAAAAAUUAGAGAAAAAGUUAACACAUUUUUCGUACUCAACGAGGUGGUAAGAAUAAAAAAUUAGGCUCAAGAAUCGAAAAUGCUUACAUCACGCGUGUGAUGAACGUAAUAUUGCCCAAACUUAUGCUCUGAUACCAAACUGACAUCCCGAUCAGAAAUGUCCACUAGGAUUCUGAAUCGAGUUGUGCUGGCCGAUACCUAGAAAGUGAUGAAGCCAUAAAGUGUAGUAAUGUGGAAAAUAUGAAUAAAUUUAAACCUAAAAGUGUCUAAAUAUAAGAGUUCGCUAGUGAGCGGGAAUGAACUCAUUUCACAUGUGACAUCAGAGCAUAAAUAAAGUACAGUAGAGUGGAUAAGGAUUAUACCUUCAACGGUAGCCACUUACACUGAGAUUUGCCAAGAAUCCUCUUCGAUACAAACGAUCAGCAGCCAAAACAUGGAGGGGCGAAAAACAAGGGUGAGUGGGCCUAAAAAUAAAGUUUAAUAAAAACCUUUUGAAAACGUUAUAACCCCUCACCGUAAAACAUGUAUAGUUUCCAAAAAAUCAUACUAUGUACAAGUAUGAAAUCAAAUGCAUGCUCACAGUGAAUCCAGAAGUAUGCCUCAAAAAGGUAUCUCAUCAGCAAUAUAAAUAUAAUCAUGUGCUCAAUAUUUUAUACUAGCACGCAAGUCGGAGUCACCUAAUGUGACCUGUACGACAAGCUAGGUGUAAUAAUAUAUGCUCUAGCGCUAUGAUCACGUGAAGAUAGUGCUAUACGGGAUCACCUAUGAGUUGGAGUCACCUAAUGCAACCUGUAUGACAGGCUAGCACCUAACUUGGAUCCAAGGCGAGCGUGCAGCGCGGG